GAGAUAUGGAUUCUGAUUUUUUUUGUUAUGAGAUACAUGUAUGAUAUAGUCAUGCUUUCUCAGAAACAACCCGACAUGAACUGGAAAAUGGGUCUUGGUUCAAGAAACUAUACCAGAAAGGAAAUCAAUGAGGUUCGAGAAUUGUGAGCAAAAUUUUUCUCUUUAGAAUGUCUGUAAUAAGGUAAUCUUGUCAUCGGCCUUGUCGUUUGAAGUCCUUACAGUUCAAGCAUUUAAGUUCUUGCCUGUUGCAGUACUAUGAUAUACAAUCACUGGUCCUUGAAGAUCUUAAACUUCUUGCUAGAGACAGUGUGUUUG